GACAGAGGGUGCAAACGUUGUUCGGAAUUACUGGGCGUAAAGCGCGUGUAGGCGGCUAAGUAAGUCGGGCGUGAAAUCCCACGGCUCAACCGUGGAAGUGGCACUCGAAACUGCAUAGCUAGAGUCCUGGAGAGGAAGGUGGAAUGCUUGGUGUAGAGGUGAAAUUCGUAGAUAUCAAGCGGAACACCGGUGGCGAAGGCGGCCUUCUGGACAGUG
rnacentral:rRNA from 1 species